rnacentral:rRNA from 1 species
AGUGAACGCUGGCGGUAGGCCUAACACAUGCAAGUCGAACGGCAGCACAGUAAGAGCUUGCUCUUCCGGGUGGCGAGUGGCGGACGGGUGAGGAAUACAUCGGAAUCUACUUUUUCGUGGGGGAUAACGUAGGGAAACUUACGCUAAUACCGCAUACGCCCUACGGGUGAAAGCAGUGGAUCUUCGGACCUUGCGCGAUUGAAUGAGCCGAUGUCGGAUUAGCUAGUUGGCGGGGUAAAGGCCUACCCAGGCGACGAUCCGUAGCUGGUCUGAGAGGAGGAUCAGCCACACUGGAAGGGGGACACGGUCCAGACUCCUACGGGAGGGAGCAGUGGGGAAUAGUGGACAAUGGGCGCAAGCCUGAUCCAGCCAUAGCGCGUGGGUGAAGAAGGCGUUCGGGGUGGAAAGCCCUUUUGUGGGGAAAGAAAAGCAGCAGGUUAAUACCCAGCGGUUCUGACGGUACCCAAAGAAGAAGCACCGGCUAACUUCGUG